CCUACGGGAGGCAGCAGUGAGGAAUAUUGGUCAAUGGGCGGAAGCCUGAACCAGCCAAGCCGCGUGAGGGAAGAAGGUACAGCGUAUCGUAAACCUCUUUUGUCAGGGAGCAAAAGCGGGGACUAGUCCCCGGAUGAGGGGACCUGAAGAAAAAGCAUCGGCUAACUCCGUGCCAGCAGCCGCGGUAAUACGGGGGAUGCGAGCGUUAUCCGGAUUUAUUGGGGUGAAAGGGUGCGCAGGCGGCCUGUUAAGUCAGCGGUAAAAGCCCGGGGCUCAACCCCGGCCAGCCGUUGAAACUGGCGGGCUGGAGUUGGAGAGAAGAACGCGGAAUGCGCGGUGUAGCGGUGAAAUGCGUAGAUAUCGCGCAGAACCCCGAUUGCGAAGGCAGCGUACCGGCGCCAUACUGACGCUGAGGCACGAAAGUGUGGGGAUCGAACAGGAUUAGAUACCCGUGUAGUC
rnacentral:rRNA from 1 species